AGCUUUUUGAAUCCGUGCUGAGAUUUCGUCAGACACCAAUCCAUUAAUACUGAUCAGACUACCACGACAAGUGAAGCU
rfam:Schistosoma mansoni strain Puerto Rico chromosome 3, complete genome